AGACGGAGGAGAAGGCCAAACGAGAGCAGGAGGAACAGCAGGAGGCAACAGCAGAAAACCAGGAGCACAAAAAAGACCCAGAGCUGUCGGGACCAAAGGAAGACAGGGGGGGAGAGGACGACCCGGAGCCAGGGGGGGUAAAUGGACCCCCAGAAGAAAGUCCCCAUGACAAAUCAAAUAACGAAGAGGCACAUCAGAACUUACAGAACGGAGAAGUGUCUGAAGAGGCAGAAUCACCAGCAGAUGAAGACAAGAGAACACGCGAUGAAAGUGCAAAUGCCUAGAGUGACUUCCAGUGGCGUCUUGAGGCCAGACACAGAGCGAUGAACUUGCCAUCAGGAGAGCGCUCGGUUCUGAAGGACUACGGCACCCUCUAGAGGACACGGCUAAUGCUUAGUGUCCGGCCUCUAUCCCCUCCAAAUCUCCAGACUUUCAUAAGACUGAUCUCUCUGAAUGAUGAAGGACAAAACGGACGAGAGACAACAGCUGCUUUUGUCUGGUCUGUUUUAUUUACAGAACCAGAUUUCCUUCCCAAACCUUUAAAGUGCAACGGUUGCAUCCACUAAGAAAAGCAUGCAGCAGCUGAACGUAAGGAUUCUUAUUAAAACCUCCAUUUCAAAUGCUUUCUAUGUUUUUCCGCAGCCUUGCAGUCAGAUCACUUGGUAUGUGUAUAAAGCUCAAACUGUGAUUUAUAUCUAAAUAUACAUAUAUAUAUAUAUAUAUAAUAUGUGGCCUGCAGUAAACUGUACAUAACUAAUCUUAGCAGCAUUUGCACCUGUGAACAAUAUUCGGCUUUUGACAAUAGCGAUGUUGUGUUCAGCUAUUUGAAAUGCACUCUUCCUGACAUGGACUGAUGCAUUUCAGCAAACAUGCUCCGACACACGUUUGUUCACCUCAUCUGCUAAUAGAGGGCGCAUAUAUGGAACCCUAUGUAUAUGUAUUACUAUUGUAAAUGACUGUCUGCGUUUAGAUCAGAGCUUUUAUAACUUGAGAAAAGCCGUACGAAGUGGCAGUAUUUCCUAUUCGUGCACAUCUGUGUGCGGCUGUGGAGUAGAAAACGCCUGAUCCUAAGAUUUUUCCUUCUCUCGCUUACCUUCGGAUGCCUUUCUUCAUGUAGUCUUUCUGAAAGCGAACCGAACUGAAACGUCUUCUACAGGAACACACAAACUAGCAGUCACCGUAGACGAUGUAAGUCUUAUAACUGACCAUAUAGUAGUGUGUAAGUCAUAGCCAUAUCACUGUGCUCGCUCCGCAAUACCUGUAUAUUACACCGUAUGUCAUUUUUGCUGGUUUCCUGGGGGUUUGUGACAAGCUUUUCUCUGUCCUUUGAGCAGGUCAUCUCAAGAAACCUGAAGAGAACAUGUCCAGGGCAUGUAUCACCCUGAAAUCAAACAUAAACAAAUGUGACCCUGGAGCACAAAACCAGUCUUAAGUUGCUGGGGUAU